CUACGUGCCAGCAGCCGCGGUAAUACGGAAGGUCCGGGCGUUAUCCGGAUUUAUUGGGUUUAAAGGGAGCGUAGGCCGCCCCUUAAGCGUGUUGUGAAAUGCGGGUGCUCAACAUCCGACUUGCAGCGCGAACUGGGGGGCUUGAGUGCGCCGAAAGUAGGCGGAAUUCGUGGUGUAGCGGUGAAAUGCUUAGAUAUCACGAAGAACUCCGAUUGCGAAGGCAGCUUACUGUAGCGCAACUGACGCUGAUGCUCGAAAGCGUGGGUAUCGAACAGGAUUAGAUACCCUGGUAGUCCACGCGGUAAACGAUGGAUGCUCGUUGUCGGCCUUUGUGGUCGGUGACCAAGCGAAAGCGUUAAGCAUCCCACCUGGGGAGUACGCCGGCAACGGUGAAACUCAAAGGAAUUGACGGGGGCCCGCACAAGCGGAGGAACAUGUGGUUUAAUUCGAUGAUACGCGAGGAACCUUACCCGGGCUUGAAUUGCAGACGCAGGAUACAGAGAUGU
rnacentral:rRNA from 1 species